rnacentral:rRNA from 1 species
GGCCAUACCACCCUCAACGCGCCCGAUCUCUUCUGAUCUCGGAAGCUAAGCAGGGUCGGGCCUGGUUAGUACUUGGAUGGCAGAGAAGAGAAUCUAGAAAAAUAAGCCC